rnacentral:rRNA from 1 species
UGGGGAAUAUUGGACAAUGGGCGAAAGCCUGAUCCAGCCAUGCCGCGUGUGUGAAGAAGGUCUUCGGAUUGUAAAGCACUUUAAGUUGGGAGGAAGGGCAUUAACCUAAUACGUUAGUGUUUUGACGUUACCGACAGAAUAAGCACCAGCUAACUCUGUGCCAGCAGCCGCGGUAAUACAGAGGGUGCAAGCGUUAAUCGGAAUUACUGGGCGUAAAGCGCGCGUAGGUGGUUUGUUAAGUUGGAUGUGAAAUCCCCGGGCUCAACCUGGGAACUGCAUUCAAAACUGACUGACUAGAGUAUGGUAGAGGGUGGUGGAAUUUCCUGUGUAGCGGUGAAAUGCGUAGAUAUAGGAAGGAACACCAGUGGCGAAGGCGACCACCUGGACUAAUACUGACACUGUGGUGCGAAAGCGUGGGGAGCAAACA